UACGUAGGGUGCGAGCGUUAAUCGGAAUUACUGGGCGUAAAGCGUGCGCAGGCGGUUUUGUAAGCCAGAUGUGAAAGCCCCGGGCUUAACCUGGGAAUGGCAUUUGGGACUGCAAGGCUUGAGUGCGGCAGAGGAGACUGGAAUUCCUGGUGUAGCAGUGAAAUGCGUAGAUAUCAGGAGGAAUACCGAUGGCGAAGGCAGCCCCCUGGGAUAACACUGACGCUCAUGCACGAAAGCGUGGGGAGCAAACAGG
rnacentral:rRNA from 1 species